rnacentral:rRNA from 1 species
GAAAGUAAAGAAGGGCGCAUGGCGGAUGCCUUGGCUCUCGGAGGCGAUGAAGGACGUGAUAAGCUGCGAUAAGCUUUGGGGAGGUGCAAAUGACCUUUGAUCCAGAGAUUUCCGAAUGGGACAACCCAAUAUCUUGAAGAGGUAUUAUCCAACGUUGUUGGAGGCUAACGCAGGGAACUGAAACAUCUUAGUACCUGCAGGAAAAGAAAAUAAACAAUGAUUCCCCCAGUAGUGGCGAGCGAACGGGGAACAGCCCAAACCAUCCAUGUUACGGCAUGGGUGGGGUUGUAGGACUACGCCGUUGCAUGAAGACAUCAGAGAAGAACUUUCUGGAAAGAAAGACCAUAGAGCAUGACAGUUGCGUAUUCGAAUGUUGUCGAAGCAUAGUAGUAUCCUGAGUAGCGCGGAGCACGAGGAAUUCUGCGUGAAUCUGCCGGGACCAUCCGGUAAGGCUAAAUACUCCCGAGAGACCGAUAGCGAACCAGUACCGUGAGGGAAAGGUGAAAAGCACUUCGAACAGAAGAGUGAAAUAGUUCCUGAAACCGUGCGCCUACAAGCGGUCGGAGCUGCUUAAAGCAGUGACGGCGUGCCUUUUGCAUAAUGAACCUACGAGUUGCCUUUGCCGGCAAGGUUAAGUGUGACGACACACGUAUCCGAAGCGAAAGCGAGUCUGAAUAGGGCGCAUAGUCGGCAGUGGCAGACGCGAAACCAAGUGAUCUACCCUUGGCCAGGUUGAAGGCUGGGUAACACCAGCUGGAGGACCGCACCAAUAAGCGUUGAAAAGCUUCUGGAUGAGCUGAGGGUAGGGGUGAAAGGCUAAUCAAACUUGGAGAUAGCUCGUACUCCCCGAAAUGCAUUUAGGUGCAGCCUUGUGGGUUACUGAUGUGAGGUAGAGCGACUGAUAAGAUGCGAGGGCUUCACCGCCUAUCAAGUCUUGACAAACUCCGAAUGCGCAUCAGUUUUACCUCAGGAGUGAGGGCAUGGGUGCUAAGGUCCGUGCCCGAGAGGAGAAGAAUCCGGACCACCUGCUAAGGUCCCGAAAUGACAGCUAAGUUAAACUAACGAAGUCUGACUGCUAAGACAGCUAGGAUGUUGGCUUGGAAGCAGCCAUUCAUUUAAAGAGUGCGUAACAGCUCACUAGUCGAGGAGUCUGGCGUGGAUAAUAAUCGGGUAUUAAGUUGUCUACCGAAGCAGUGGGAUCAUUGAAAUGAUCGGUAGGGGAGCAUUCCAGUCAGCGUCGAAGGCGUACCGCGAGGUAUUCUGGAGCGUCUGGAAAAGCAAAUGUAGGUAUAAGUAACGAUAAAGGGGGCGGGAAACCCCCUCGCCGAAAGACUAAGGUUUCCUGAUCAACGCUAAUCGGAUCAGGGUAAGUCGGGUCCUAAGGCUCAGCCGAAGGGCGAUGCCGAUGGCAGAAACGGUUAAUAUUCCGUUACUACCUCCAGGAGUGAUGUGGAGACGCAGUAGUGACAAUGCCGCCAUCUGACGGAAUAGAUGGUUGAAGGGUGUAGAUGUUGAUCUUGGCAGGCAAAUCCACCAUGAGAAUCGAACCUGAUAGUAUGCCGCGUCCCUCGGGACAAGGCAAUAGUGCAUGUAAUCAUGCUGCCAAGAAAAUCCGCUAAACAAAAUCCUGUAGGUACCCGUACCGUAAACGGACACACGUAGUCGGGAUGAAUAUUCUAAGGCGCUUGAGUGAUUCACGGUUAAGGAACUAGGCAAACUGACCCUGUAACUUCGGGAUAAAGGGUCCCUACCCGGUGACGGGAGGGCGCAGAGAAUAGGUCCAGGCAACUGUUUAACAAAAACACAGGGCUGUGCAAAAUUGAAAGAUGAAGUAUACAGCCUGACACCUGCCCGGUGCUGGAAGGUUAAGAGGAGAUGUCAUCGCAAGAGAAGCAUUGAAUUGAAGCCCCAGUAAACGGCGGCCGUAACUAUAACGGUCCUAAGGUAGCGAAAUUCCUUGUCGGGU